rnacentral:lncRNA from 1 species
GAGCCGCGCUGCCAAGGCCGACCGAGGGCCGCGGGAGGGUGAAGCGAGCGGCCCGAGCGCGGGAGGAGGGCUCUCGGGGACGCCGCAGCACCGGACACUUGGCCCCAGGGCGACCCCCGAGAGAUUGACGCCCUCCGUGCGAUUUCAGCCCCUGUUUAUCGUUUGCGCCCUACGAAAGGUUUAAAAGAUAAAAAGAGCAAAGUUGUCUAGGCCAGCUGGGCUGACCUCAGACCAUCAGCCACUGAGGCAGAGCCACCUGCUGUGUGUGCUGCUUCUCAUCCCUGAGCCACUACCUGCCACCUGCCUGAGGCCGAACCGGUUUUCCAAGAUCUACAGGAGUUAGCUUCGAACUGUGAUUUUCAUGGGUUCCUACUAAAAGGCUGAUCUGACAACUUCAAAGGAACUUUGUGUGACUGGAAAUGGGCCUCCCCUCUUCUUUAUAAAGCGUGUUUGCCAUCAUUAAAAUUGAGUCUUGA